GAUUUGGGGUCAGGGUCCGGAUUUGGGUCCAGAUCUGGAUCUGGGGUCAGGGUCUGGAUUCAGGGGCUGGGGGCCAGAUCUGGGGUCAGAGUCCAGAUUUGGGAUUGGGAUCUGGAUUUGGGGUCAGAGUCCAGAUUUGGGAUCAGGAUCCGGAUUUGGGAUCGGGAUCCGGAUUUGGGAUCUGGAUCUGGAUUUGGGGUCAGGGUCCAGAUUUGGGGUCAGGGUCUGGAUUUGGGAUCGGGAUCUGGAUUUGGGAUCGGGAUCCAGAUUUGGGAUCUGGAUCCGGAUUUGGGGUCAGGGUCCAGCGCUGGGAUCUGCAGUGGGGGCGCGGGGCCCCGCGUGGUUCCUGGUCUUCUCUCAGAUCCCCAACCCCGCGCCCGCUCCCACCCGCGUCCCCAGCCGGGUGUCACCGUGUCACCACUGCGGUGUCACCGGGGCACCGUGUCCCCAAGAAGAGGUCACCACGUCAUGGUGUCCCCAACGUGAUGUCACCGUGUCCCCAACGCAAUGUCACCAGGACGUGGUGUCCCCAACGUGAUGUUACUGGGACAUGGUGUCCCCAACGCAAUGUCACCGUGUCCCCACUGCGAUGUCACCGGGACAUGAUGUCCCCAACGCGAUGUCACCAGGACAUGGUGUCCCCAACGUGAUGUCACCGUGUCCCCAAUACGAUGUCACCAGGACGUGAUGUCCCCAGAGUGAUGUCACCAGGGCAUGGUGUCCCCAAUGCAAUGUCACCAUGUCCCCAACGCGAUGUCACCUGGACAUGAUGUCCCCAGCGCCAUGUCACCAAGACGUGAUGUCCCCAGAGUGAUGUCACCAGGACAUGGUGUCCCCAACGCAAUGUCACCGUGUCCCCAACACGAUGUCACCUGGACAUGAUGUCCCCAGUGCAAUGUCACCGUGUCCCCAACACGAUGUCACCAGGACAUGGUGUCCCCAGCGCGAUGUCACCGGGACAUGGUGUCCCCAACGUGAUGUCACCGGGACAUGGUGUCCCCAGCAUGAUGUCACCGUGUCCCCAGCACGAUGUCACCAGGACAUGGUGUCACCAACACGGUGUCACCGGGACACGAUGUCACCAUGGAGACGCCAGCAGGACACAGUGUCACCCAUGAGAUGUCGCCAGGGCACAGUGUCCCCAAGGAGAUGUCACCACGCCAUGGUGUCCCCAGCGAGGUGUCCCCAUGCCAUGGGGUGUCACCGUGUCACCGAGCCUUCACCUGGACGUGAUGUCCCCAGCGCGAUGUCACCAGGGCACGGUGUCACCAACACGAUGUCACCACGCCGUGGUG
rnacentral:lncRNA from 1 species